UACGAAGGGGGCUAGCGUUGUUCGGAAUACUGGGCGUAAAGCGCGCGCAGGCGGUUCUACAAUGAUCAGUGGGUGAAAGCCCGGAGCUCAACCUCCGGAAUUGCCUAUUAAACUGGUAGAACUUGAGGAUGGAAGAGAGGUGAGUGGAAUUCCAGUGUAGAGGUGAAAUUCGUAGAUAUUGGGAAGAACACCGGUGGCGAAGGCGGCUCACUGGCUCAUUUCUGACGCUCAGGCGCGACAGCGUGGGGAUCAAACAGG
rnacentral:rRNA from 1 species